ACCCUCUCAGCGUGGCACCUGGAGAGUUUCCAGUCCUCUACCAGUCUCAGCUACGGGAGGGAGAGUCAAGCAGAGCCUACCCAUUCUAUUCCUACCUCGGGCAGUGGCUAGCAAAUGGAAGGCACUCUGCUACAUGU